GACAGAGGGUGCAAACGUUGUUCGGAAUUACUGGGCGUAAAGCGCGUGUAGGCGGCCCUGCAGGUCGGAUGUGAAAUCCCUCGGCUUAACCAAGGAAGUGCAUCCGAAACUGCUGAGCUUGAGUACUUAAGAGGAUCGCGGAAUUCCCGGUGUAGAGGUGAAAUUCGUAGAUAUCGGGAGGAACACCAGUGGCGAAGGCGGCGAUCUGGGAAGAUACUGACGCUGAGGUGCGAAAGCGUGGGGAGCAAACAGG
rnacentral:rRNA from 1 species